rnacentral:rRNA from 1 species
AUUGAACGCUGGCGGCAUGCCUUACACAUGCAAGUCGAACGGCAGCACGGGGGCAACCCCUGGUGGCGAGUGGCGGACGGGUGAGUAAUGCAUCGGAACGUGCCCUGAAGUGGGGGAUAACGCAGCGAAAGCUACGCUAAUACCGCAUAUUCUGUGAGCAGGGAAAGCAGGGGAUCGCAAGACCUUGCGCUUUGGGAGCGGCCGAUGUCGGAUUAGCUAGUUGGUGGGGUAAAGGCCUACCAAGGCGACGAUCCGUAGCGGGUCUGAGAGGAUGAUCCGCCACACUGGGACUGAGACACGGCCCAGACUCCUACGGGAGGCAGCAGUGGGGAAUUUUGGACAAUGGGCAAAGCCUGAUCCAGCCAUGCCGCGUGAGUG